AAGCUACAGCAGAGGAUAUGGGGGAAGGGGGUCUGUCUCAGGAAGGCCCCCUUGGGUCCUGCUCGGUUACACAACCACCAUUCUACUUUCUGCUUCUCUGAGUCUUACGACUUCAGAUGUCUCAUGUUGAGAAAUGUAACCAACCUACCACAUACAUAAAAAUACAAAUAGCAAUUUAGACAAAAUGAGGUGACAGAGGAAUAUGUUUCAGAGGAAGGAACAAGCUAAACACCCAGAAGAACUAAGUGACUUGAAAAUAGGCAAUCUCCCUGGCUCCAGCACACGGUUUAAAUGCUUUUAGAAAUGUUUCUAUUUCUUUUUUUCGCCUUUGGGAUAAGAGUAAGAAGAAUACUCACCUGGGACGUUGUGACUAUUUCAGCCAUUACAAUCAAACAAACCUGCAAAAGAAAACUUGACCAACACCUCAUUCACAUUCUUAAUCAUCCCUAGAAUGUAAGAGUCAGAAGUGUCAGUACAUUGGUUGAAGCCAAGAAAACAUCAAAGUAUACUGAGUAGUUGGGCAAGUAGAAUCACCAAAUCACUAAGAUGAGAGAAAGAAGAGCCUGAAGGAUUAUGCCUCUUCUUGAG